UACGAAGGGGGCAAGCGUUGUUCGGAAUUACUGGGCGUAAAGCGCACGCAGGCGGCGCGAGAAGUCAGGAGUGAAAUCCCCGAGCUCAACUUGGGAACUGCUUUUGAAACUUUCGCGCUAGAAUCAUGGAGAGGAUAGCGGAAUUCCGAGUGUAGAGGUGAAAUUCGUAGAUAUUCGGAAGAACACCAGUGGCGAAGGCGGCUAUCUGGCCAUGUAUUGACGCUCAGGUGCGAAAGCGUGGGGAGCAAACAGG
rnacentral:rRNA from 1 species